rnacentral:rRNA from 1 species
AGAGUUUGAUCCUGGCUCAGGACGAACGCUGGCGGCGUGCUUAACACAUGCAAGUCGAACGGAGAACUUUCUUCGGAAUGUUCUUAGUGGCGAACGGGUGAGUAACGCGUAGGCAACCUGCCCUCUGGUUGGGGACAACAUUCCGAAAGGGAUGCUAAUACCGAAUGAGAUCCUCUUUCCGCAUGGAGAGAGGAUGAAAGAUGGCCUCUACUUGUAAGCUAUCGCCAGAAGAUGGGCCUGCGUCUGAUUAGCUAGUAGGUGGGGUAACGGCUCACCUAGGCGAUGAUCAGUAGCCGGUCUGAGAGGAUGAACGGCCACAUUGGGACUGAGACACGGCCCAAACUCCUACGGGAGGCAGCAGUGGGGAAUCUUCCGCAAUGGACGAAAGUCUGACGGAGCAACGCCGCGUGAGUGAUGAAGGCCUUCGGGUUGUAAAACUCUGUUGUCAGGGACGAAAGCACCGAUCUAUAAUACAUUUUGGUGUUGACGGUACCUGACGAGGAAGCCACGGCUAACUACGUGCCAGCAGCCGCGGU